UACGUAGGGUGCAAGCGUUGUCCGGAAUUAUUGGGCGUAAAGAGCUCGUAGGCGGUUUGUCGCGUCGAAUGUGAAAUCCCGGGGCUCAACCCCGGGCCUGCAUUCGAUACGGGCAGACUAGAGUUCGGUAGGGGAGUCUGGAAUUCCUGGUGUAGCGGUGAAAUGCGCAGAUAUCAGGAGGAACACCGGUGGCGAAGGCGGGACUCUGGGCCGAUACUGACGCUGAGGCAUGAAAGCGUGGGUAGCAAACAGG
rnacentral:rRNA from 1 species